rnacentral:rRNA from 1 species
GGAACCCUUACAAAUCUUGACAUCCUUUGACAUUUCUAGAGAUAGAGCCUUCCCCUUCGGAAAAGGACAGCGCGAUGGAUGUCGUCAGCCUGUGCUGGAGAUGUAUGAUAACUGCCGUCACCAGGCCACCCUUUAAGCUUGGUUCAAUCUUUAAGCUGGCACUCUAAGUUGACUGCCGUGACAAACCGGGAGUGGGAUGACGUCAAAUCAUCAUGCCCCUUAUGAUGUUGAGCUACACACGUGCUACAAUGGUCAAUACAAGCCAGCCAACCCGAGUUGAGCAAAUCCCAAAAGUGUUCUCAGUUCUGAUGUAGUCUGCACUCGACUACAUGAAGCUGAAUCGCUAGUAAUCGUAAAUCACAUGAUACGGGAAACAUUCCCGGCACUUAGUACACACCUGCCGUCACACCAGAGAGUUUUGUACACCGAAGCCGCUAGGUAACCAUUUGGAGCUGCCUUCACGGUGGGAUAAUGAUUGGAGAAGUCGAACAGUACCGUACCUUAAUUG